rnacentral:rRNA from 1 species
UUAUAUGAGAGUUUGAUCCUGGCUCAGGAUGAACGCUGGCGGUGUGCCUAAUACAUGCAAGUCGAACGCGUUGGCCCAAUUGAUUGAUGGUGCUUGCACCUGAUCGAUUUUGGUCGCCAACGAGUGGCGGACGGGUGAGUAACACGUAGGUAACCUGCCCAGAAGCGGGGGACAACAUCUGGAAACAGAUGCUAAUACCGCAUAACAGCGUUGUUCGCAUGGACAACGCUUAAAAGAUGGCUUCUCGCUAUCACUUCUGGAUGGACCUGCGGUGCAUUAGCUUGUUGGUGGGGUAACGGCCUACCAAGGCGAUGAUGCAUAGCCGAGUUGAGAGACUGAUCGGCCACAAUGGGACUGAGACACGGCCCAUACUCCUACGGGAGGCAGCAGUAGGGAAUCUUCCACAAUGGGCGCAAGCCUGAUGGAGCAACACCGCGUGAGUGAAGAAGGGUUUCGGCUCGUAAAGCUCUGUUGUUAAAGAAGAACACGUAUGAGAGUAACUGUUCAU